GACGAACGCUGGCGGCGUGCUUAACACAUGCAAGUCGAACGGAAAGGCCCUGCUUUUGUGGGGUGCUCGAGUGGCGAACGGGUGAGUAACACGUGAGUAUCCUGCCCUUGACUUUGGGAUAACUUCAGGAAACUGGGGCUAAUACCGGAUAGGAGCUCCUGCUGCAUGGUGGGGGUUGGAAAGUUUCGGCGUUUGGGGAUGGACUCGCGGCUUAUCAGCUUGUUGGUGGGGUAGUGGCUUACCAAGGCUUUGACGGGUAGCCGGCCUGGGAGCGGGACCGGCCACAUUGGGACUAAGAGACGGCCCAGACUCCUACGGGAGGCAGCAGUGGGGAAUAUUGCACAGUGGGCGGAAGCCUGAGGCAGCAACGCCGCGUGCGGGAUGACGGCCUACGGGUGGUAAACCGCUUUCGCCGGUGCCGAAGCGUGAGUGACGGUAAUGGGUAAAGAAGCACCGGCUAACUACGUG
rnacentral:rRNA from 1 species